AGGACGAACGCUUGCGACGUGCCUAAGAAAUGCAAGUCGAGCGGGGGAGCAAUCCCUAGCGGCGAACGGUCGCGUAACACGUAGGCAACCUGCCCGAAAGACCGGGACAACAGCGCGAAAGCGCUGCUAAUACCGGAUGUGGUCGCGGGAAGACAUCUUCUGGCGAGUAAAUCACUGGUUGGCUUUCGGAGGGGCCUGCGGCCUAUCAGCUAGAUGGCGGAGUAACGGCCCACCAUGGCGACGACGGGUAGCUGGUCUGAGAGGAUGGUCAGCCGGACUGGGACUGAGAUACGGCCCAGACUCCUACGGGGGCAGCAAUUAGGAAUCUUGCGCAAUGGGGGCAACCCUGACGCAGCGACGUCGCGUGGAGGAGGACGGCCUUCGGGUUGUAAACUCCGUUUUAACGAGGAAGAACAAAUGACGGUACUCGUUGAAUAAGCCCGGCUAACUCCGCGCCAGCAGCCGC
rnacentral:rRNA from 1 species